rnacentral:tRNA from 1 species
UCCAUUGUCGUCCAGCCAGGUUAGGAUACCUGGCUUUCACCCAGGCGACCCGGGUUCAAAUCUCGGCAAUUGAG